UACGUAGGGGGCAAGCGUUGUCCGGAAUCAUUGGGCGUAAAGAGCGUGUAGGCGGCCAGAUAAGUCCGCUGUGAAAUCUCGAGGCUCAACUUCGAGCUGUCGGUGGAAACUGUCUGGCUAGAGUCCGGAAGAGGAGAAUGGAAUUCCCGGUGUAGUGGUGGAAUGCGUAGAUAUCAGGAGGAACACCGGUGGCGAAGGCGGGUCUCUGGCCUGUAACUGACGCUGAGGCGCGAAAGCGUGGGGAGCAAACAGG
rnacentral:rRNA from 1 species